GACGAACGCUGGCGGCGUGCUUAACACAUGCAAGUCGAACGGAAAGGCCCUGCUUUUGUGGGGUGCUCGAGUGGCGAACGGGUGAGUAACACGUGAGUAACCUGCCCUUGACUUUGGGAUAACUUCAGGAAACUGGGGCUAAUACCGGAUAGGAGCUCCGGCUGCAUGGUGGGGGUUGGAAAGGUUCGGCGGUUGGGGAUGGACGCGCGGCUUAUCAGCUUGUUGGUGGGGUAGUGGCUUACCAAGGCUUUGACGGGUAGCCGGCCUGAGAGGGUGACCGGCCACAUUGGGACUGAGAUACGGCCCAGACUCCUACGGGAGGCAGCAGUGGGGAAUAUUGCACAAUGGGCGGAAGCCUGAUGCAGCAACGCCGCGUGCGGGAUGACGGCCUUCGGGUUGUAACCCGCUUUCGCCUGUGACGAAGCGUGAGUGACGGUAAUGGGUAAAGAAGCACCGGCUAACUACGUG
rnacentral:rRNA from 1 species